rnacentral:lncRNA from 1 species
CGGCUUCCUUAGUUCUUGUUCUUUCUCCUUGUCCAACUGAGAUCGCUUUAUUAGAUGUUUGUAGCAAAAAUAUUCAAAUUGUUAAGAGGUUUAGGGAUUUUAUUUCUUUAGACACCAUGAAGGAGGCCCUCAAGAAGAAGCACACGGAGCUGACGUCCGCUUGGAAGGAGGCCAGUUUGAAGACCUAGGUGGCUGAGGACAAGCUAAAGUCAGUCGAGAAGCUGGAGGACGAGAGGAAAAAUCUGAAGGUUGUUGCGAAGAAGUUCAUGGAGGAGAUUGCUGAGUUGAAGAACCACUAUGCCGAGUGGGAACACAAAUUUAAGCAUCUCUCUUCCAAGAUGCUCGAGAUGGAGUAGUAUAUCGA